rnacentral:rRNA from 1 species
CUACGGGAGGCAGCAGUGGGGAAUCUUAGACAAUGGGGGCAACCCUGAUCUAGCGAUGCCGCGUGGACGAUGAAGGCCUUAGGGUUGUAAAGUCCUUUCAGCUGGGAAGAUAAUGACGGUACCAGCAGAAGAAGCCCCGGCUAACUCCGUGCCAGCAGCCGCGGUAAU